rnacentral:misc_RNA from 1 species
UCCUGGUUUCCCAGGCAGUCCCACUAGAGUGCUUCUUGCGAAUUGCAACUAAUGGUAGGGGUUGCGCUCGUUAAAGGACUUAACCCAACAUCUCACGACACGAGCUGACGACAGCCAUGCAGCACCUGUGUAACCGUCUUGGUUUCCCAAGAACCCAUCAUCUCUGACAGUUGCAGUUACAUGUCAAACCCAGGUAAGGUUUCUCGCGUAGUGUCGAAUUAAACCACAUGUUCCACCGCUUGUGCGGACCCCCGUCAAUUUCUUUGAGUUUUAAUCUUGCGACCGUACUCCCCAGGCGGAUCACUUAUCGCGUUAGCUUCGAUACGGACCGUGCAGUGCACUGCCCACAUCUAGUGAUCAUCGUUUACAGCGUGGACUAC